GAAGUUAGCGAAAUGCUUUUCUGGAGAAGAUAUUGUCUCUCAGGUACAUAUUGAUAUUUUUUUAUUAUUCCUCGAAGGUAAAUAAUAUAAAAUCUUUAUUAGAACAUCUUUAGCAUCAUAAUUUAUAGAACUCUUCUGUAGGAUGUGUUUGGUUCACUUUGUGUCAUUUUGUUAGAUUAGAUGGUAGGAUAAUAUAUGUGUAGCUCUUACAGAAGAACAUGGAUUUAAUCUUCUCCAAUCAUCAUUUUAUUAACUUUUGAAGAUCCAGGGCAUAAAACAAGUCAUCCAGAUAUUGUUAUUGAUUAUGACCUUGACCGAGUUUACCCCUUCAUUUCUGAGAAUUGCUGUCAUAAUGCAGAUUCAUUUCAGAAUGGGAUCUAAAUCAAGGUUAACCUGCCCAGCAAUGUCACAAACUCAAAUGCUGUCUGGCUGUCUCAAGGAGCAUUGAGGAAGAAGGGGCAGAAUCACCAGAGCAGCUGUGGUUGC
rnacentral:lncRNA from 1 species